CCCUUAGAUGUCCUGGGCCGCACGCGCGCUACACUGAGUGUCUGAGAUACGAGUCUGCCUGGUCCGGCAAGGUCUAGGUAAUCGCUAAAAGACACAUCAUGCUUGGGAUAGAUUAUUGCAAAUAUUAAUCUUGAACGAGGAAUUCCUAGUAAGCGCAAGUCAACAGCUUGCGUUGAUUACGUCCCUGCCCUUUGUACACACCGCCCGUCGCUACUACUGAUUGGAUGUUUAAGCGAGGUUCUCGAACUGCUAGCGACUUAGCUUCGGUGAGGUCGCAUUGUGGGAAGUGAACCUAGCUUUGGUGUCUAGAGGAAGUAAAAGUCGUAACA
rnacentral:rRNA from 1 species